rnacentral:rRNA from 1 species
UACGAAGGGGGCUAGCGUUGCUCGGAAUCACUGGGCGUAAAGCGCACGUAGGCGGAUUGCUAAGUCGGGGUGAAAUCCUGGAGCUCAACUCCAGAACUGCCUUCGAUACUGGGAAACUUGAGUUCGGGAGAGGUGAGUGGAACUGCGAGUGUAGAGGUGAAAUUCGUAGAUAUUCGCAAGAACACCAGUGGCGAAGGCGGCUCACUGGCCCGAUACUGACGCUGAGGUGCGAAAGCGUGGGGAGCAAACAGG